GAUGAAGAACGUAGCGAAAUGCGAUAAGUAAUGUGAAUUGCAGAAUUCAGUGAAUCAUUGAAUCUUUGAACGCACAUUGCGCCCCCUGGCAUUCCGGGGGGCAUGCCUGUUCGAGCGUCAUUACAACCCUCAAGCUCUGCUUGGUAUUGGGCUCUGCCGGUCCCGGCAGGCCUUAAAAUCAGUGGCGGCGCCACUCGGCUUCAAGCGUAGUAAUUCUUCUCGCUUCGGAGACCCGGGUGCGUGCUAGCCAGCAACCCCCAACUUUCUCAGGUUGACCUCGGAUCAGGUAGGGAUACCCGCUGAACUUAAGCAUAUCAAUAAGCGGAGGA
rnacentral:misc_RNA from 1 species